AUUGAACGCUGGCGGCAGGCUUAACACAUGCAAGUCGAACGGUAGCAGGAGAAAGCUUGCUUUCUUGCUGACGAGUGGCGGACGGGUGAGUAAUGCUUGGGAAUCUGGCUUAUGGAGGGGGAUAACUACGGGAAACUGUAGCUAAUACCGCGUAGAAUCGGAAGAUGAAAGUGCGGGACCGUAAGGCCGCAUGCCAUGAGAUGAGCCCAAGUGGGAUUAGGUAGUUGGUGGGGUAAAGGCCUACCAAGCCUGCGAUCUCUAGCUGGUCUGAGAGGAUGGCCAGCCACACUGGAACUGAGACACGGUCCAGACUCCUACGGGAGGCAGCAGUGGGGAAUAUUGCGCAAUGGGGGGAACCCUGACGCAGCCAUGCCGCGUGAAUGAAGAAGGCCUUCGGGUUGUAAAGUUCUUUCGGUAUUGAGGAAGGUUGAUGUGUUAAUAGUACAUCAAAUUGACGUUAAAUACAGAAGAAGCACCGGCUAACUCCGUGCCAGCAGCCGCGGUAAUACGGAGGGUGCGAGCGUUAAUCGGAAUAACUGGGCGUAAAGGGCACGCAGGCGGUUAUUUAAGUGAGGUGUGAAGGCCCCGGGCUUAACCUGGGAAUUGCAUUUCAGACUGGGUAACUAGAGUACUUUAGGGAGGGGUAGAAUUCCACGUGUAGCGGUGAAAUGCGUAGAGAUGUGGAGGAAUACCGAAGGCGAAGGCAGCCCCUUGGGAAUGUACUGACGCUCAUGUGCGAAAGCGUGGGGAGCAAACAGG
rnacentral:rRNA from 1 species